rnacentral:rRNA from 1 species
UACGUAGGGUGCGAGCGUUAAUCGGAAUUACUGGGCGUAAAGCGUGCGCAGGCGGUUCGUUAAGUUCGUUGUGAAAGCCCCGGGCUUAACCUGGGAAUGGCCAUGGAAACUGGCGAGCUGGAGUGUGGCAGAGGGGGGUGGAAUUCCGCGUGUAGCAGUGAAAUGCGUAGAGAUGCGGAGGAACACCGAUGGCGAAGGCAGCCCCCUGGGCUAACACUGACGCUGAGGCACGAAAGCGUGGGGAGCAAACAGG